CCCUUAGAUGUUCUGGGCUGCACGCGCGCUACACUGAUGCACUCAACGAGUUUACGACCUUGCCCGAUAGGGUUGGGUAAUCUUUUUAAAAUGCAUCGUGAUGGGGAUAGAUUAUUGCAAUUAUUAAUCUUCAACGAGGAAUUCCUAGUAAGCGCGAGUCAUCAGCUCGUGCUGAUUACGUCCCUGCCCUUUGUACACACCGCCCGUCGCUCCUACCGAUUGAGUGCUCAGGUGAAUAAUUCGGACUGCAGCAAUGUUUGGAUCCCGAACGUUGCAGCGGAAAGUUUAGUGAACCUUAUCACUGAGAGGAAGGAGAAGUCGUAACA
rnacentral:rRNA from 1 species